rnacentral:rRNA from 1 species
AGAGUUUGAUCCUGGCUCAGAACGAACGCUGGCGGCAGGCCUAACACAUGCAAGUCGAGCGCCCGCAAGGGAGCGGCAGACGGGUGAGUAACGCGUGGGAACGUGCCCUUUGGUUCGGAAUAUUCCCGGGAAACUGGGAGCAAAACCGGAUAAGCCCUUCGGGGGAAAGUUUACGCCAAAGGAUCGGCCCGCGUUAGAUUAGGUAGUUGGUGGGGUAACGGCCUACCAAGCCUACGAUCUAUAGCUGAUCUGAGAGGAUGAUCAGCCACACUGGGACUGAGACACGGCCCAGACUCCUACGGGAGGCAGCAGUGGGGAAUCUUGGACAAUGGGCGCAAGCCUGAUCCAGCCAUGCCGCGUGGAUGACUGAAGGCCCUAGGGUUGUAAAGUCCUUUCGACGGGGACGAUAAUGACGGUACCCGUAGAAGAAGCCCCGGCUAACUUCGUGCCAGCAGCCGCGGUAAUACGAAGGGGGCUAGCGUUGUUCGGAUUUACUGGGCGUAAAGGGCGCGUAGGCGGAUUUUUAAGUCGGGGGUGAAAUCCCGGAGCUCAACUCCGGAACUGCCUUCGAUACUGAAAGACUGGAGCACGGUAGAGGUGAGUGGAAUUCCGAGUGUAGCGGUGAAAUGCGUAGA